ACGAAGGUCGGCUCGCGCAAGAUGGCGGCCCCCUUGGAGCUCAGCUGCUGGGGAGGCGGCUGGGGGCUCCCAUCGGUGCACAGCGAGUCCCUGGUAGUGAUGGCUUAUGCCAAAUUUUCUGGUGCACCAUUGAAAGUCAAUGUCAUAGAUAAAACUUGGAGAGGUUCAAGAGGAGAUGUGCCAAUUUUGACAAUAGGAGACAAGAUUGUUUCUCAGCCAACAAAAAUACUGAACUUUUUAAGAAAACAGAAAUAUAAUGCUGAUUAUGAACUGUCAACAAAACAAGGGGCAGAUACACUGGCCUAUAUUGCUCUCCUUGAAGAGAAGCUUCUUCCUGCAGUGCUUCACACAUUCUGGGUUGAGAAUGACAAUUAUUUUACUGUGACAAAGCCAUGGUUUGCUUCACGAAUUCCGUUUCCCUUGAAUUUGAUCCUGCCUGGACGAAUGUCCAAGGGAGCAUUGAACAGGAUUCUCCUGACCAGAGGCGAGCCUCCUCUCUAUCACCUUCGAGAAGUAGAAGCACAGAUAUACAGAGAUGCCAAGGAGUGCCUAAAUCUUCUGUCAAACAGAUUGGGAACAUCUCAGUUUUUCUUUGGAGAUACGCCUUCUACUUUGGAUGCGUAUGUGUUUGGUUUUCUUGCACCUCUUUAUAAAGUACACUUUCCUAAAGUUCAGUUACAAGAACAUUUGAAACAACUCUUCAACCUGUGUCGCUUUUGUGAUGACAUCUUAAAUAAUUAUUUUAAGCAUAGUAUUGGAGCAUUUUCCUGCGUGAACAGAAAUCAGCAGCAGAUUGAUUUUGGUGAGGUACAUUCCCAUGAUUCCACUACUUGAAAACUGAUUGCAUCAGCCUGGAGGCGUCUCUCCUGGUGGACAAGAAACGGUAGAUGCAAAUCUGCAGAAACUCACACAACUUGUAAAUAAGGAAUCCAACUUGAUUGAAAAGAUGGAUGACAAUCUUCGCCAGAGCCCUCAGCUUCCUCCUCGUAA